rnacentral:rRNA from 1 species
UACGUAGGGGCGUAGCGUUAUCCGGAAUUACUGGGCGUAAAGGGUGCGUAGGUGGUUUCUUAAGUCAGAGGUGAAAGGCUACGGCUCAACCGUAGUAAGCCUUUGAAACUGGGAAACUUGAGUGCAGGAGAGGAGAGUGGAAUUCCUAGUGUAGCGGUGAAAUGCGUAGAUAUUAGGAGGAACACCAGUUGCGAAGGCGGCUCUCUGGACUGUAACUGACACUGAGGCACGAAAGCGUGGGGAGCAAACAGGAUUAGAUACCCUGGUCCUGAGCGGG